rnacentral:rRNA from 1 species
UGGCAUCGACCAAGGGAGGCAGCGGGAAGGAGGAUCCCGGCGAGAGUAGCGACAAGGCAGCAGAGAUACUGUCCAAUGAGGCCGUGGGCUUCUGG